rnacentral:rRNA from 1 species
GAUGAACGCUGGCGGCGUGCCUAAUACAUGCAAGUCGAGCGAACAGACGAGGAGCUUGCUCCUCUGACGUUAGCGGCGGACGGGUGAGUAACGCGUGGAUAACCUACCUAUAAGACUGGGAUAACUUCGGGAAACCGGAGCUAAUACCGGAUAAUAUAUUGAACCGCAUGGUUCAAUAGUGAAAGACGGUUUUGCUGUUACUUAUAGAUGGAUCCGCGCCGCAUUAGCUAGUUGGUAAGGUAACGGCUUACCAAGGCAACGAUGCGUAGCCGACCUGAGAGGGUGAUCGGCCACACUGGAACUGAGACACGGUCCAGACUCCUACGGGAGGCAGCAGUAGGGAAUCUUCCGCAAUGGGCGAAAGCCUGACGGAGCAACGCCGCGUGAGUGAUGAAGGUCUUCGGAUCGUAAAACUCUGUUAUUAGGGAAGAACAAAUGUGUAAGUAACUAUGCACGUCUUGACGGUACCUAAUCAGAAAGCCACGGCUAACUACGUG